CCUACGGGUGUCAGCAGUAAGGAAUUUUCGGCAAUGGGGGGAACCCUGACCGAGCAAAGCCGCGUGAACGAAGAAGUAUUUCGGUAUGUAAAGUUCUUUUAUUGUAGAAGAAAGAGAAAUUUGACGGUAACCAAUGAAUAAGCUCCGGCUAACUACGUGCCAGCAGCCGCGGUAAUACGUAGGGAGCGUGCGUUAUCCGGAAUUAUUGGGCGUAAAGGGUGGUGAGAUGGUUUAUAUAAGUCUUUUGUAAACAGGCUAGGCUCAACCUAGUAGGGCAAAAGAGACUGACGAACAUGAGUACGGCAGAGGCAAGUGGAACUACAUGUGUAGCGGUAAAAUGCGUAAAUAUAUGUAAGAACAACGGUGGCGAAGGCGGCUUGCUGGGCCUGUACUGACAUUGAGGCACGAAAGCGUGGGGAGCAAACAGGAUUAGAUACCCCAGUAGUC
rnacentral:rRNA from 1 species